rnacentral:lncRNA from 1 species
UUUGUGGCCUAGGAACAUCAUAACUACUGUAGGUUCUUAUUUAAACCCUUCCUGGAUGGUGCUGGUUCUAAGAAGCUGAAGGACAGAGGUGAAAAGAGGAAAAACAUUCUUCUGAGAAUGAUGAGGUUAUACAAAAAGGAACUUUGGACACAGAGACAGACAUGCAUGGAAGGAAGAUGGCAUGAACACACACGGAAAGCACAGCCAUAUGGAAAUGGAGACAGAGAUUGGAACUGUACUGCCACAAGCCGAGGAAUGCCUGGAGCCACCAGAAGCUAGGAGAGAGGCAUGGAAUAAAUUCUCCUUCAUAAUCCUUAGAAGGAACCAACUCUGCCAACACUUUGACUUUGGACUUGUAGCCUCCAGAACUGAGACAAUAAUCUCCUGUUUAAGCCACCCAGCUUGAGGUAUUUUGUUAUAGCAGCCCUAGAGAAUUGACAUACUGUACUUGCAUCAAACCUAGGAACUUUCGAUGUUUACACCAAUCCUUCACUGGUU